GAUGAACGCUGGCGGCGUGCUUAACACAUGCAAGUCGAACGGUGAACACGGAGCUUGCUCUGUGGGAUCAGUGGCGAACGGGUGAGUAACACGUGAGCAACCUGCCCCUGACUCUGGGAUAAGCGCUGGAAACGGCGUCUAAUACUGGAUACGAGACGUGAUCGCAUGGUCAACGUCUGGAAAGAAUUUCGGUUGGGGAUGGGCUCGCGGCCUAUCAGCUUGUUGGUGAGGUAAUGGCUCACCAAGACGUCGACGGGUAGCCGGCCUGAGAGGGUGACCGGCCACACUGGGACUGAGACACGGCCCAGACUCCUACGGGAGGCAGCAGUGGGGAAUAUUGCACAAUGGGCGCAAGCCUGAUGCAGCAACGCCGCGUGAGGGAUGACGGCCUUCGGGUUGUAAACCUCUUUUAGCAGGGAAGAAGCGAAAGUGACGGUACCUGCAGAAAAAGCGCCGGCUAACUACGUGCCAGCCGCCGCGGUAA
rnacentral:rRNA from 1 species